UAUGUGAUCGUCUCUCGCAUAUCAAUAAGCGGAGGAAAAGAAACUAACAAGGAUUCCCCUAGUAACGGCGAGUGAAGCGGGAAGAGCUCAAAUUUGAAAUCUUAAAGGGUUUCCCUUUACGAAUUGUAGUUUAAAGAAGUGUUUUCUGUUGAGGUUUUGGUAAAAGUUCUUUGGAAUAGGACAUCAUAGAGGGUGAGAAUCCCGUAUUUGACCUUUACUUUCAACUUUGUGAUACACUUUCAAAGAGUCGGAUUGUUUGGGAAUGCAGUCCAAAAUGGGUGGUAAAUUUCAUCUAAAGCUAAAUAUUGGCGGGAGACCGAUAGCGAACAAGUACCGUGAGGGAAAGAUGAAAAGAACUUUGAAAAGAGAGUUAAACAGUACGUGAAAUUGUCAAAAGGGAAGCGUUUGACACCAGUGUUGUUUUUCUGAAAAUCAAUUAAAGAACUGUUUAUGCUAAGUUGUUUAGACUUUAUCAGCUAACUGUUUAGUUUUGAGCUUUUCUUUAAUGCACUUUUCAGUUAACAAGUCAACAUCAAUUUCUUUUGCUGUAAAAAAGCUUGAGGAAGGUGGCUUGAGAUUCGUCUUAAGUGUUUAUAGCCUCUUGCCUAUGCAGUCGGAGAGAUUGAGGUCUGCAGCAUAGAUCCUUCGGGGCUAAAUGCAUUUGUGCUAAGUUAUAGCAUUUUAUAGACAACUUGUUGACUAUGAUUUGUCUUGUAGCUUACUCGCUUAUGUUAUUUUACCUACGCUUAGGAUGUUGACGCGCGUGUGUGCGUG
rnacentral:rRNA from 1 species